rnacentral:ncRNA from 1 species
CGAUCUCAGAGCAGGCGAGAUCACCCGCUGAAUUUAAGCAUAUUAUUAAGCGGAGGAAAAGAAACUAACCAGGAUUUCCUCAGUAGCGGCGAUCGAACAGGAAUGAGCCCAGCACCGAAUCCCGCGGUUCCGCCGCAGGGAAAUGUGGUGUUCGGGAGUAUCCGCUUAUCUCGAGGCGCGUCGUGUCCAAGUCCAUCUUGAAAGGGGCCACUUACCCGCAGAGGGUGCCAGGCCCGUAGCGACGCCCUUGCUUGAGAGUGCAGCUCUAAGUGGGUGGUAAACUCCAUCUAAGGCUAAAUACGACCACGAGACCGAUAGCGAACUAGUACCGUGAGGGAAACUUGAAAAGAACUUUGAAGAGAGAGUUCAAGGUUACGUGAAACCGUUCAGGGGUAAACCUAAGAAACCCAAAAGAUCGAACGGGGAGAUUCAUCGUCAGCGACGCUGGCUUCGCGUCGGUGGGCGAUGCCACGCGGGGCCCUCGCGGCUCGCGCGCCGGCACGCCGCCGUGCCUCCGAUGUCCGGCCGUCGUCGUCGUGCACCACUCCCCUAGUAGAACGUCGCUACCCGCUGGGUGUCGGUCUACGGCCCGGGUGCGGUGGCUGACGCGACGCCGGUAAAACGGCCCGCGUCAAACCCCCGGUCACCCGGCCGACUGCCCGGCGGUACACGCAACGUUUUAGGCCGCAGCUCGCUGUGCGUCGAGGCCGUCGCAAGCGCGCGCCACGAUACACGGAU